rnacentral:rRNA from 1 species
CCUACGGGCGGCUGCAGUGGGGAAUAUUGGACAAUGGGGGCAACCCUGAUCCAGCCAUGCCGCGUGUGUGAAGAAGGCCCUCGGGUUGUAAAGCACUUUCAGUGAGGAAGAACGCCUGGUGGUUAAUACCCAUCAGGAAAGACAUCACUCACAGAAGAAGCACCGGCUAACUCCGUGCCAGCAGCCGCGGUAAUACGGAGGGUGCGAGCGUUAAUCGGAAUUACUGGGCGUAAAGCGCGCGUAGGUGGCUUGAUAAGCCGGUUGUGAAAGCCCCGGGCUCAACCUGGGAACGGCAUCCGGAACUGUCAAGCUAGAGUGCAGGAGAGGAAGGUAGAAUUCCCGGUGUAGCGGUGAAAUGCGUAGAGAUCGGGAGGAAUACCAGUGGCGAAGGCGGCCUUCUGGACUGACACUGACACUGAGGUGCGAACGCGUGGGUAGCAAACAGGAUUAGAUACCCGGGUAGUC